rnacentral:misc_RNA from 1 species
GAUGAAGAACGUAGCGAAAUGCGAUAAGUAAUGUGAAUUGCAGAAUUCAGUGAAUCAUCGAAUCUUUGAACGCACAUUGCGCCCCCUGGUAUUCCGGGGGGCAUGCCUGUUCGAGCGUCAUUUCACCACUCAAGCCUCGCUUGGUAUUGGGCAUCGCGGUCCGCCGCGCGCCUCAAAUCGACCGGCUGGGUCUUCUGUCCCCUAAGCGUUGUGGAAACUAUUCGCUAAAGGGUGUUCGGGAGGCUACGCCGUAAAACAACCCCAUUUCUAAGGUUGGCCUCGGAUCAGGUAGGGAUACCCGCUGAACUUAAGCAUAUCAAUAAGCGGAGGA